AGCGAACGCUGGCGGCAGGCCUAACACAUGCAAGUCGAACGGAUCCUUCGGGAUUAGUGGCGGACGGGUGAGUAACGCGUGGGAACGUGCCUUUUGGUUCGGAACAACUCAGGGACACUUGAGCUAAUACCGGAUGUGCCCUUCGGGGGAAAGAUUUAUCGCCAUUGGAGCGGCCCGCGUCUGAUUAGCUGGUCGGUGAGGUAAAGGCUCACCAAGGCUACGAUCAGUAGCUGGUCUGAGAGGAUGAUCAGCCACACUGGGACUGAGACACGGCCCAGACUCCUACGGGAGGCAGCAGUGGGGAAUCUUGCGCAAUGGGCGAAAGCCUGACGCAGCCAUGCCGCGUGAAUGAUGAAGGUCUUAGGAUUGUAAAAUUCUUUCACCGGGGACGAUAAUGACGGUACCCGGAGAAGAAGCUCCGGCUAACUUCGUGCCAGCCGCCGCGGUAAAAC
rnacentral:rRNA from 1 species